UGGGGAAUUUUGGACAAUGGGCGAAAGCCUGAUCCAGCAAUGCCGCGUGUGUGAAGAAGGCCUUCGGGUUGUAAAGCACUUUUGUCCGGAAAGAAAUCCUUGGCUCUAAUACAGUCGGGGGAUGACGGUACCGGAAGAAUAAGCACCGGCUAACUACGUGCCAGCAGCCGCGGUAAUACGUAGGGUGUAAGCGUUAAUCGGAAUUACUGGGCGUAAAGCGUGCGCAGGCGGUUUGCUAAGACCGAUGUGAAAUCCCCGGGCUCAACCUGGGAACUGCAUUGGUGACUGGCAGGCUAGAGUAUGGCAGAGGGGGGUAGAAUUCCACGUGUAGCAGUGAAAUGCGUAGAGAUGUGGAGGAAUACCGAUGGCGAAGGCAGCCCCCUGGGCCAAAUACUGACGCUCAUGCACGAAAGCGUGGGGAGCAAACAGGAUUAGAUACCCUGGUAGUCCACGCCCUAAAACGAUGUCAACUAGUUGUUGGGGAUUCAUUUCCUUAGUAACGUAGCUAACGCGUGAAGUUGACCGCCUGGGGAGUACGGUCGCAAGAUU
rnacentral:rRNA from 1 species